rnacentral:rRNA from 1 species
UACGUAGGGAGCAAGCGUUGUCCGGAAUCAUUGGGCGUAAAGCGCGCGUAGGUGGCCCUGUAAGUCCGUUGUGAAAGUCAAAGGCUCAACCUUUGAAAGCCGAUGGAUACUGCAGGGCUGGAGUCCGGAAGAGGCGAAGUGGAAUUCCUGGUGUAGGCGGUGGAAUGCGCAGAUAUCAGGAGGAACACCAAUAGCGAAGGCAGCUCGCUGGGACGGUACUGACACUGGAGGCGCGAAAGCGUGGGAGCGAACAGG